rnacentral:lncRNA from 1 species
CCUUGGGGGGCCCCCAGCUGCAGUUGGGGGGCUGGGAUGGCUGAGGAGGGAAGGGCUGAGGGAGAAGGCCGGGCCUCUGGCAGCCAGUUGGCAUGGACCCACGGGCUCUGGCACCUUGGGGGGCAGGGAGCUUUCCCCCUUAGCCUGUGAACAGGCUCCUCCCCAGGAGACACUGAGGGGCUUGUGCCCUCUGGCCUGGCUGGAGGGGGCUGAUGUUCCCUCUGCCCGGCUCAUGGGGCCUCUUUUCCUGCCUUUGAUCGGGGGGUGUCCUUGGCAAGGAACCACUGGGGAGUUACUGGCCAGAGGCCGCCCUCUGGGGGCUUGGGGGGUCCCAGCAGGAUGGGAGCCCUCCCGUGGCCCAGAGGAGGAAGCCGAGGCACUUUGGGGGGCUGGGACCCCACAAUGGGAGGAGGCCCCUUUUCCCGGGGCUUCCCGUCUCUUCCCUGUGAGUGAAUUUUUCCAGGGUAUGUGUCCAUCUGGGGGUCACAGGGUAUGUGUCCACCCCGGGGUGGACUGCUUUGUGGGAGCAGCCUGUGGGGGGGCUGGGCCCGAGGGAGGCCGCCCGGGCCGAGAGAACUGAUGGCUUUCCUUGGUACCUUCUCCAGCAGGUCCUGGCCACAGGCAUCCCUCCGGAGGACCUGGACGGCUCUGGCGAUGACGACGACGGCUUCUCCGGCUCUGGGGCGGGGGCCCCCUCUAGGACCUCAGUGUUCGGCCUGAACCUCCUGCCCAGCAAGACUCCUGUGCUCACCAGCACCUUGACCAGCACUCCGGCCCAGCCCCCGCCCAGCACCCCCGGGGGAGUAGCCCCAGAAGCCUCCUCGGUGGACUCUGUGCUCCUGCCUGGAGGGCUGCCUGAGCCCCGGCCGGCCCCCAGCCAGGAGGAGACCCUCCCCGUGUCUCCGGCCGGGACGUUUCUCCCCACCACCCACUGGCCUUUGACAGCGGGAGCCCCCGGGGCCCUGGACCCCGCUCUGGGGCUCCCAAUGGCGCCUUCCCCCGAGUUUCCAGACUCUGGGGACGAAGGCCUCCUGGCCAGCGCCCCAGGGAGCGGGCAGCCCGAGGGAAGCUCCAGCCAGCACCCAGGGGAGGAGAGCUCGGGAAGUGGGAGUGAUGACUUCACCUUCGCCCCAUCCGGGAAUCCCCCCCCCAAAAAAGGGGGGGGGCCCACAGGAGCCUCCCCAAUCCCAAAAAGGAGGUCUUGGAG